rnacentral:rRNA from 1 species
UACGGAGGAUGCGAGCGUUGUCCGGAUUUACUGGGUGUAAAGGGUGCGUAGGCGGCCCUGCAAGUCAGAAGUGAAAUCCAUGGGCUUAACCCAUGAACUGCUUUUGAAACUGUAGAGCUUGAGUGAAGUAGAGGUAGGCGGAAUUCCCGGUGUAGCGGUGAAAUGCGUAGAGAUCGGGAGGAACACCAGUGGCGAAGGCGGCCUACUGGGCUUUAACUGACGCUGAGGCACGAAAGCGUGGGUAGCAA